GUAGUUUUUGUUGUCAGGAU
rnacentral:miRNA from 1 species